ensembl:lncRNA
ACCCAACCCACGCGGUGGAUGUCAGGGGGACAGCCAGCAGGGCCAGAGCAAAGCAAAGGCUGGAUCGCGUGCCGUGCCCCGUUCCUGUGCCCCGUUCCUGGGAUGACCCCGAGUUUGGCUCUCCAAGUUUGCGCCUGCAACCCCGCAGCAACCCUUCUGCGAUUUCUAGUGCUUGCCCGGAGCUGAAGGCAGCAAGUACGGGUGGCUGGACUUGGUCGUGCCUAUUGCGGGCUGACGAUAAAGAACGCGUCUGCCAGCGGGACUCGGGUGUGUGGAUGGGGUGAGCUGGUGGCCGUCAGCCCGCAGGCACAGACUCUGCUUUUCUGGUGCUUCCACGUCGACACCUGGUGGUGGAGCCGGCCAUCGUGCUCUCAGAGAUGGUUUUACUGCGGGCCGCUUGGCGUAUGCCUUUCAGACGCAUCCUCCUCCUGUUUGCACUGCUGCUCUCAGCUCUGCCUGAGUUCCGUCGGACAAAUAUGAACGCCAGGACGUCCAAGUGCAGGUGCUGUGCAGGUGCUGCCCUAAAUAGCAUCUCGCAGAGAGCACCCCCGGCUGUGUCUGCAACAGCAUGGAAGGAAAGCGGCCCAUCUCCUGGAGGAUCACUCGCACUGCUUCAAUCCUCUUCUUUUUGUCUCGGCAACCAAAAAGCAGAAGGCUUAGAGGCGCUCAGCCUCUGGGGUUUUAUGGAUUCAUUCUCAGCUUGGCAGCAAGGGCUGCCCUCGAAUGCAUCUCAGCAGAGACACCAAAUGGCAACAGCUGUCCAUUAACAUCUGUGCGAGAGUUACCUAUUCCUUCCUGUUAGCAGUUCUGUCCCUUAACUAUCAAGCCAGAAAGCAAUCCUACUGUCUUGGAGAGUCCAAGAGGCUGCAGCAGAAGGCCCCUCAUUCGAGAUGCUUACUCAGUGGUGAAAUAAUAAAAUGGUUUGUGCUUGCCGUGGGCCUUUUGCCAAGGGCAGAGUUUCUCUACAGCACUCAAUGACAUAACGCUGCUGCUGUGCUGCCCUUGAAACAAAAACUUCAUGAGAAAAAUCUCUCUGAGCAGAUGAGCCAAGAGAAGUCAAGUUCUGCUUAGCACCGAAGUCUGAUUUAUUUUCUCAGACACUUUCUUAACGCAAUGCAUAUUCUGGGUGUUUUACUGAGAGACUUCACAGUAAAUAAGGCAGAAAUGAAAGCAAAAAUAUAUAUAUAUAUAUUAAACAUGAGAGAGUUGUGAAUGAGCACCAAAUUCCUGUGCGUUCUUGAGGAAAAAGGAGAAAAAUUUUAAGCACAUGUAGCCAGCAAGCCCAGGACAUUGUGUAGAGGCACCGUGCCAAUUUUCCUAUGUUUUAAAUGCUCUCUAUAUUGAAAUACGUAACCUGCAUUCCAGACAUAAAGCUACUAAAUGAUGACAUGGAUGGCUAUAGCCUGUUCCACUGCUUUGUGUGUACUUUCUGAACACUGUCAUUUGGGGCUUGCUGUUUGUAUGGGGAAGGAGCUCUUCCACUCCACAGCGCACUCGGAGUGUGCAGAUACGCACGGGCACGAUGGAAAGCUCUGCUGCAGGAUGUUGGGCCGUCCAGUGAGCCCGUCCCCAAGUGGGCACGAUAUCCACAUUUGCUCCAUGAAACAUCUCUGUUUAAUUUAUUAUGCUAAAGUAGAGAGUGACGUAUUUCAGGGAAACCACUGCUGGCUGUAGAC